rnacentral:rRNA from 1 species
GGGGAAUCUUCCACAAUGGACGAAAGUCUGAUGGAGCAACGCCGCGUGAGUCAUGAAGGUUUUCGGAUCGUAAAACUCUGUUGUUAAAGAAGAACAAGUGUUAGAGUAACUGUUGACACUUUGACGGUAUUUAACCAGAAAGCCACGGCUAACUACGUGCCAGCAGCCGCGGUAAUACGUAGGUGGCAAGCGUUGUCCGGAUUUAUUGGGCGUAAAGCGAGCGCAGGCGGUUUUGUAAGUCUGCUGUGAAAGCCCUCAGCUCAACUGAGGAAGUGCAGUGGAAACUACAAAACUUGAGUACAGAAGAGGAAAGUGGAACUCCAUGUGUAGCGGUGAAAUGCGUAGAUAUAUGGAAGAACACCAGUGGCGAAGGCGGCUUUCUGGUCUGUUACUGACGCUGAGGCUCGAAAGCAUGGGUAGCGAACAGGAUUAGAUACCCUGGUAGUCCAUGCCGUAAACGAUGAAUACUAGGUGUUGGAGGGUUUCCGCCCUUCAGUGCCGCAGCUAACGCAUUAAGUAUUCCGCCUGGGGAGUACGACCGCAAGUUGGAAACUCAAAGGAAUUGACGGGGGCCCGCACAAGUGGUGGAGCAUGUUGUUUAAUUCGAUGCUACGCGAAGAACCUUACCAGCUCUUGACAUCUUCUGCCAACCCAAGAGAAUUGGGCGUUCCCUUCGGGGACA